AUUGAACGCUGGCGGCAUGCCUUACACAUGCAAGUCGAACGGCAGCACGGGAGCUUGCUCCUGGUGGCGAGUGGCGAACGGGUGAGUAAUACAUCGGAACGUACCCUGAAGUGGGGGAUAACGUAGCGAAAGUUACGCUAAUACCGCAUAUUCUGUGAGCAGGAAAGAGGGGGAUCGCAAGACCUCUUGCUUUAGGAGCGGCCGAUGUCGGAUUAGCUAGUUGGUGAGGUAAAGGCUCACCAAGGCGACGAUCCGUAGCGGGUCUGAGAGGAUGAUCCGCCACACUGGGACUGAGACACGGCCCAGACUCCUACGGGAGGCAGCAGUGGGGAAUUUUGGACAAUGGCGCAAGCCUGAUCCAGCCAUGCCGCGUGAGUGAAGAAGGCC
rnacentral:rRNA from 1 species